AAAAGAGCUUUUAGUGGAUGCCUUGGUGAUAAGAGACGAUGAAGGACGUAGUAAGCUGCGAUAAGCUGCGUGGAGGUGCUAACAUCCGUUAAUACGCAGAUUUCCGAAUGGGGAAACCCUUUGCACUACAAGUGCAAAAUCUCGAAAGAGAGGUGAACUCAGUGAACUGAAAUAUCUAAGUAACUGAAGGAAAAGAAAUCAAUUGAUAUUUCGUCAGUAGCGACGAGCGAACGCGAAUCAGGCUUUUGAAUUUAAAAAUUAGAAUGUGUUGGAAAGCACAGCAAUAUAAGGUGACAGCCCUGUAUAAGUAAAUUAAAUUCAUUUUUUUAAGAGUAAAGCGGGACACGUGAAAUCCUGUUUGAAUAUGGGGGGACCAUCCUCCAAGCCUAAAUACUACUUAUCAACCGAUAGCGAACUAGUACUGUGAAGGAAAGGUGAAAAGAACCUCGAGAGAGGAGUGAAAUAGAACUGAAACUAAUUGCUUAUGAGCAGUCAGAGCACAUAUGUGUGAUGGCGUACCUCUUGUAUAAUGGGUCAGCGAGUUAGUGUGUCUAGCAAGGUUAAGCUGUUAAGUGUAGCCGUAGCGAAAGCGAGUCUGAAUAGGGCGAGAAGUUAGACGUAUUAGACCCGAAACCGGGUGAUCUAGUCAUGAGCAGGCUGAAGUCAAGGUAAGAUUUGAUGGAGGGCCGAACUCGUCAAUGUUGCAAAAUUGUGAGAUGACUUGUGAUUAGGGGUGAAAGGCCAAUCAAACUCGGAAAUAGCUGGUUCUCCGCGAAAUCUAUUUAGGUAGAGCGUUGCUUAGUUUCUUAUCAGGGGUAGAGCACUGGAUCGGCUAGGGGGCCAAAAGCCUACCGAACCUAACUAAACUCCGAAUACUGAUAAUGAUGAGAGCAGCAGACAGGCUGUGGGUGCUAAGAUCCAUGGCCAAAAGGGAAACAGCCCAGAUCGUCGUCUAAGGUCCCUAAGAUAUGGUUAAGUGUUAAAGGAAGUAAAAACGCCAAAACAACUAGGAGGUUGGCUUAGAAGCAGCCAUCCCUUAAAGAAAGCGUAAUAGCUCACUAGUCUAAUAGCGAUUUUGCGCCGAAAAUGUAACGGGGCUAAAACCAUACACCGAAGACACGGGCUCAUUCGUUUGAAUGAGCGGUAGCGGAGCGUUGUGUAAGCCUGUGAAGAUGCAUCGUAAGGUGUGUUGGAGGUAUCACAAGUGAGAAUGCUGACAUGAGUAGCGUAAAGAGGUGUGGAAAACACCUCCGCCGAAAGUCCAAGGUUUUCUACGUAAAGUUAAUCUGCGUAGAGUUAGCCGGUUCCUAAGAUGAGGCUGAAAAGCGUAAUCGAUGGCAAUCUUGUUAAUAUUCAAGAGCCUGCUAGAAGUGACAAAUCUGUAACAUUACAAUUGGUUAAUGGAUUCUGAUUGUAGUGGAAAGGUUUCAGGAAAUAGCCUAGCAUAUAGACCGUACCCCAAACCGACACUGGUGGACUGGUAGAGAAUACCAAGGCGUAGAGAGAAUAAUGUUGAAGGAACUAGGCAAAUUGCAUCUGUAACUUCGGGAAAAAGAUGACCAUGCGCAAGUGUGGUGGCACAAACUAGGGGGUGGCGACUGUUUAUCAAAAACACAGGACUCUGCAAACUCGGAAGAGGAAGUAUAGGGUCUGACGCCUGCCCGGUGCUAGAAGGUUAAGGUGAGGGGUGCAAGCUCUGAUCCGAAGCCCUAGUAAACGGCGGCCGUAACUAUGACGGUCCUAAGGUAGCGAAAUUCCUUGUCGGGUAAGUUCCGACCUGCAUGAAUGGCGUAACGACUUCCCCACUGUCUCCAACAUUAACUCAGCGAAAUUGAAUUCUCCGUGAAGAUGCGGAGUGCCCGUGGUUAGACGGAAAGACCCCGUGAACCUUUACUGUAGUUUUGUAUUGAUUCCAGGAGUUUGUUGUUCAGGAUAGGUGGGAGACUGUGAUCUCAGAGUGUAAGCUUUGAGGGAGUCGUCCUUGAGAUACCACCCUGCAAGCUUUUGGUGUCUAACUGUGCUUUUUGAAUCAAAAGCCAAGACAGUGCAUGAUAGGCAGUUUGACUGGGAUGGUCGCCUCCUAAAGAGUAACGGAGGCGUACGAAGGUAAGCUCAAGUUGGUCGGAAAUCAACUGUAAGAGUGUAAUGGCAUAAGCUUGCCUGACUGCGAGAUUGACAAAUCGAGCAGAGACGAAAGUCGGUCAUAGUGAUCUGGUGAUCCCGCAUGGAAGGGUCAUCACUCAACGGAUAAAAGGUACUCCGGGGAUAACAGGCUGAUGAACUCUAAGAGUCCAUAUCGCCGAGUUCGUUUGGCACCUCGAUGUCGACUCAUCACAUCCUGGGGCGGUAGAAUGUCCCAAGGGUUCGGCUGUUCGCCGAUUAAAGUGGUACGUGAGUUGGGUUCAGAACGUCGUGAGACAGUUCGGUCCCUAUCUGCCAUGGGUGUAAGGAAAAUUGAGAGAAUCUGACUUUAGUACGAGAGGACCGAGUUGGACGUAUCUCUUGUGUACCAGUUGUUUUGCCAAGAGCAGCGCUGGGUAGCUAUAUACGGAAGGGAUAACCGCUGAAAGCAUCUAAGUGGGAAACCCGUCUCAAAAAUAAUUUUCCCUAUAGCACCGUAGAAGACUACUACGUUGAUAGGCUGAAUGUGUAAGUAGAGUAAUCUAUUUAGCUAAUCAGUACUAAUGUGUAAUUG
rnacentral:rRNA from 1 species